UUGAACACUCCAGAACAUGCCAUAUUUUAAAAGCAUUUCAUUUACAGGAAUUAGCAUGAACCUAGAAAAUGCUGCAGCAAAUUACUUCAGUUUUUACAGUGCUUUGAACUUGGAAAGACUGGGUAAUUGCAACUUCGUAUUAAAGGAAGGUCUACCUCAGCCACCUCAUGAGAACCCACUGAAGUUGUGCUGUGGUGUAAAAUCAACAGGUGUGUGUUGCAGGUGAAUAUUACUUACAAGCACUCGCUGAAUUGUGGAUGAAUCUGCCUAAGGCUGGAACACCAGUUUCAUUAGGACAAUCAUGGAGUUUCCCUUUUCAUUCUGCUCCCACAGCACAUCACCCAUGCAGAGUUCACCACAGAACUGCAGGCUAUCUUUAGAUCCUUUAAUCCAUUCAUGAUAACAUGUUGAUCAUCAUCUGCUGCCCAAUUUGUCAUCCCUGAACACCCCGGAUUUAAUGGCAUCCUAAAUAUCCUGAGCACUUUGAAUCUGUAUCGAGACAGAAAAUUAUUCUAGAAAGGAAAGCAGUAGCUGCUGUUUGUUUAAUACAUAAGGAGUUAAAAACACUUGAAAAAACGCAGCUUCAUCAGAAUCAGUUUUGCGUGACAUGCUGAAUAUACAACCUUUGGAACAAAAAGAAGUGUCAGA